UGUCACUUGAGAUUCCUGUCCACAAGUGCCUCUUGACCACGGGAACAGUGUCUGGUUUGGCUACUGCAGACAGGAUGGAUCCCCAGGGAGAGUGGUGCUAUUUGGACUUGUGGCCUUUUUGGAAUAGGUGUAUCAUUGUGGCUGCAGGCUUUAAUAUCCUAGCUCUUGCUCCCUGGAGGCUCUGAUUCUGCUAGCAGCCUUCGGAUUAAGAUGCAGAACUCUCAGCUCUGCCUACACUAUGCCUGCCUGGAUGGUGACAUGUUGCAGCCUUGAUGAUACUUGAUUGAAGCUCUGGAGCUAGAGUGGUGCUAUUUGGACUUGUGGCCUUGUUGGAAUAGGUGUAUCACUGUGAGUGCAGGCUGUAAUAUCCUAGCUCUAGCUCCCUGGAGGCUCUGAUUCUGCUACCAGCCUUCAGAUUAACAUUCAGAACUCUCAGCUCCUCCUACACCAUGCCUGCCUGGAUGGUGACAUGUUACAACCUUGAUGAUACUUGAAUGAAGCUCUGAAGCUUGUAUGGCUGUGUGAGGCAUUGGGCUAGGCCCGGACAGGCUGGUCUCCAGUUGAGCUGUGGUCUGAACCCUGGAAGAGUGAUAAUUCACCUACAUGACAUGGCAGGCAUUCCCUCUUGCUCCUGGUACUCUGGCUCCUGCCUAAGUUACUGGCCCCCACAGCAUCCACAUGGUAAGCAUGGCUAGAUAUAAAGUAGGCAAUUUCCCAAGCUUCUUACCUACAGUCUAAACUCCUCCCCA